rnacentral:rRNA from 1 species
AAUAUUGGACAAUGGGGGCAACCCUGAUCCAGCCAUGCCGCGUGUGUGAAGAAGGUCUUCGGAUUGUAAAGCACUUUAAGUUGGGAGGAAGGGCUUUAGGUUAAUACCCUGAAGUUUUGACGUUACCGACAGAAUAAGCACCGGCUAACUUCGUCCCACCCGCCGCGGUAAUACGGAGGGUGCAAGCGUUAAUCGGAAUUACUGGGCGUAAAGCGUGUGUAGGCGGUUCAGUAAGAUUGGUGUGAAAUCCCCGGGCUUAACCUGGGAACUGCUUUCAUAACUGCUGAGCUAGAGUAAGGUAGAGGGUAGUGGAAUUUCCUGUGUAGCGGUGAAAUGCGUAGAUAUAGGAAGGAACACCAGUGGCGAAGGCGACUACCUGGACUGAUACUGACACUGAGGUGCGAAAGCGUGGGGAGCAAAC